UACAGAGGGGGCAAGCGUUGUUCGGAAUUACUGGGCGUAAAGGGCGCGUAGGCGGCCCGCUAAGUCGAACGUGAAAUCCCCGGGCUCAACCCGGGAACUGCGUCCGAUACUGGUGGGCUUGAAUCCGGGAGAGGGAUGCGGAAUUCCAGGUGUAGCGGUGAAAUGCGUAGAUAUCUGGAGGAACACCGGUGGCGAAGGCGGCAUCCUGGACCGGCACUGACACUGAGGCACGAAAGCGUGGGGAGCAAACAGG
rnacentral:rRNA from 1 species